CCUUUCAAUAAUGGCGUCGGACUCACAAACUCGAUUGAGUCCAAUCAGAAGCAGACAAAGUUUCAGGAGCGAUGGAGAAGAAGAUUGCGAUUGUGCUGACCAUGCUUCUUCUGAUAAUUUCAGCUAACAUGGACGGAGUUAAGCCGGACGCCUUCGAUUGUUACGACGCCUGUUCCACGGCCUGCGUUAACCCUAACACCAGGCUGAUGGCUCGCUGCGAUCGCAAAUGUCAGAUAAAGUGCAGUCCAGGACUCGACACUAAUGGGCAGUGAAUUAAAAUCCUCGAGUGGCAUAUUCUCAGGGAGGCCAGAUUAAAUCGACAAAGGCAACAAAUAAGAGGAACAGCAUCUAUUUAAUACACUGUAAGUGUACAAUUUCUGUUUUGCAAAGGUUUAAUUUGGUGUAUGGAAUUGGAAUCUGUUGAUCAACUGAUACUAUAGCUUGUUCCUGAAGUAUACUUAUGUCAUAAUCCCCUUAUCUUUAA